CGAAAGCCUGACGGAGCAAUACCGCGUGGGGGAGGAAGGUCUUUGGAUUGUAAACCCCUUUUCUCAGGGAAGAAGAACUGACGGUACCUGAGGAAUCAGCCUCGGCUAACUCCGUGCCAGCAGCCGCGGUAAGACGGAGGAGGCAAGCGUUAUCCGGAAUUAUUGGGCGUAAAGCGUCCGCAGGUGGCUAUUCAAGUCUGCUGUCAAAGACUGGGGCUUAACUCCGGGUCGGCAGUGGAAACUGUGUAGCUAGAGUGCGGUAGGGGCAGAGGGAAUUCCCGGUGUAGCGGUGAAAUGCGUAGAGAUCGGGAAGAACACCAGUGGCGAAAGCGCUCUGCUGGGCCUGCACUGACACUGAGGGACGAAAGCUAGGGGAGCG
rnacentral:rRNA from 1 species